rnacentral:rRNA from 1 species
GAUGAACGCUGGCGGCGUGCCUAAUACAUGCAAGUCGAGCGAACAGACGAGGAGCUUGCUCCUCUGACGUUAGCGGCGGACGGGUGAGUAACACGUGGAUAACCUACCUAUAAGACUGGGAUAACUUCGGGAAACCGGAGCUAAUACCGGAUAAUAUAUUGAACCGCAUGGUUCAAUAGUGAAAGACGGUUUUGCUGUCACUUAUAGAUGGAUCCGCGCCGCAUUAGCUAGUUGGUAAGGUAACGGCUUACCAAGGCAACGAUGCGUAGCCGACCUGAGAGGGUGAUCGGCCACACUGGAACUGAGACACGGUCCAGACUCCUACGGGAGGCAGCAGUAGGGAAUCUUCCGCAAUGGGCGAAAGCCUGACGGAGCAACGCCGCGUGAGUGAUGAAGGUCUUCGGAUCGUAAAACUCUGUUAUUAGGGAAGAACAAAUGUGUAAGUAACUAUGCACGUCUUGACGGUACCUAAUCAGAAAGCCACGGCGAACUACGU